UACGAAGGGGGCUAGCGUUGCUCGGAAUCACUGGGCGUAAGGCGCACGUAGGCGGAUUGCUAAGUCAGGGGUGAAAUCCUGGAGCUCAACUCCAGAACUGCCUUUGAUACUGGCGACCUUGAGUCCGGGAGAGGUGAGUGGAACUGCGAGUGUAGAGGUGAAAUUCGUAGAUAUUCGCAAGAACACCAGUGGCGAAGGCGGCUCACUGGCCCGGUACUGACGCUGAGGUGCGAAAGCGUGGGGAGCAAACAGG
rnacentral:rRNA from 1 species